rnacentral:rRNA from 1 species
GACGAACGCUGGCGGCGUGCUUAACACAUGCAAGUCGAACGGAAAGGCCCUGCUUUUGUGGGGUGCUCGAGUGGCGAACGGGUGAGUAACACGUGAGUAACCUGCCCUUGACUUUGGGAUAACUUCAGGAAACUGGGGCUAAUACCGGAUAGGAGCUCCUGCUGCAUGGUGGGGGUUGGAAAGUUUCGGCGGUUGGGGAUGGACUCGCGGCUUAUCAGCUUGUUGGUGGGGUAGUGGCUUACCAAGGCUUUGACGGGUAGCCGGCCUGGGAGGGUGACCGGCCACAUGGGGACUGAGAGACGGCCCAGUCUCCUACGGGAGGCAGAAGUGGGGAAUAUUGCACAAUGGGCGGAAGCCUGAUGCAGCAACGCCGCGUGCGGGAUGACGGCCUUCGGGGUGUAAACCGCUUUCGCCUGUGACGAAGCGUGAGUGACGGUAAUGGGUAAAGAAGCACCGGCUAACUACGUG